AGCGAACGCUGGCGGCAGGCCUAACACAUGCAAGUCGAACGGAUCCUUCGGGAUUAGUGGCGGACGGGUGAGGAACACGUGGGAACGUGCCUUUUGGUUCGGAACAACUCAGGGAAACUUGAGCUAAUACCGGAUAAGCCCUUCGGGGAAAGAUUUAUCGCCAUUAGAGCGGCCCGCGUCUGAUUAGCUAGUUGGUGAGG
rnacentral:rRNA from 1 species